UGUUUUUAUUCUAUAGUUGUCACAACAAAAGUUGGAAACGAUUGUCUUUCAGUGAAAAUAACACUGAAAGUUUUUCUUGCUACUGGAUGCUUUGGGUUCUAUUUUACCAAAGAAGGUUCUUUUACAAGUACCAAGCUUCGUAUCAAAUUGGUAAGAUGUCUCCAAUUGUAUAUUGUUUUUUAAUAGGUUCAAUGGCUUCUUUUCUCCUCAGUUUGGUUGAAAUGUGUCAAAUUCAUUCCUUUUUAGAAAAAUAUCAAUUUUAAAAUUUGUGUCAAUCAAUUCAUCUCCGUUAAAAAUUAUCGUUUUCAAAACUCAUUUUAUCCACUGCAAAAUCAGGGAUCGGAUCCAUGAAGUGGUUAUUAUUCAAAACUCACUUUAAGUUUUUAACACCAUUAGUUUGUUUUUAACAUAGAUGACUUAAUUGACACAAAUUUUUUAUAUGAGGACGAAAUUGACAUUUUUCUAAAAAGAAAACGAAUUUGACACACUUCAAUCAAACUGGAGACAAAAAAAAGCAAUUAAACUUUUUUUAAUAUUAGUAUAUAAAUCUUAUGAAAAGUUAAAAGUCAGCAAGUUUUAUAAUUGAAAUUGUGUGGUAUUAAGAAUAUAUACGCAUAUUGUUAGAAAGUAGUAUUCGCCGAAUUCAAUUAACUUAAUAUAUUCCCCACCCUUUGUUUGGUUGACAUGCAUCUUUUGUCUUUUGUUAUUUAUUGGUGGGACGGUUUGAUAGGAUUGGAAGAAUGCGAAGAAAACAAGAUAAAAAUUUUAAAUCCAACAACGUUAUUCACUAGUUAUUUUUUUAACAGGAAAAACUUACCUUGAUGAGUUUGAUUAUAAGAUGGAGGUAUAAUAGUUACUCUUAAAUAUAGAAUUAUGGAUUAUUGUCACAUAUCUUACAUAAAGAAAGAGUAAAAUUAUGAUGGUACCUCUUUUAUUCCUAUGAAUAAAAGUAUAUUGUGCUACAAUUAGAAUGGAAAUUAUGAAAGAAUAAAUAAGGUUGGUGUGUUAUAUUUAAGAUGAAAUAGAAAGGUCGUGUGAAAUUUAAUAUGUGGAAGAUAAUGUUCUUUAUAAAUGAAAGAAAUAUCAUAUUCAAACAGUGUGUUACAAUUAAAUUGAAGCAAUUGAAUGUAUUUUGAGAUUUCAAUGUCAACAACAUGAUUUUGAAGAAUUGGAUAUCGAAUGGGUUUGAAAAUAAUGAUUUAAAAAAGGAAAUCACAAAUGAGGAGAAAACGUUUAAAAAUCAUAAUUUAAAGGAAGACAUUAAAGAUAAAAGUAUUAAAAAUAAUGAUUUUGAACAAGACAUCGAAGAGAGUAAAUUUUAUAAAUUCAAGACGAGGGAUUUGACGAUGAUAGAAGUCUUUAUUUUGUAACACCUUACUAUUAUAUAUAAAUCAUUAUUAUUUGAUAAAAAUAAUAGACUUAUUUAUUUUUUUCAUAAUGAGAUUUUUUAAAAAGAAAAAUUAUAAUAAUAUAACUCCAUAUAUAAUUCUUGGUUUCAAGUAUUAUUAGCAUUUUUGGUCUUCUAGUCAAUCCUAACCAAUUUAAACAUUAUAAAUCACUUUUGGUUCAUAUAGUCAAUCCUGACUAGUCAGAUAAGUAUUAUAAACACUCAUGUUUCACUUAGUCAUUCCUGACUAGUCAGAAUAUUAUAAACUACUCCUAAUUUACCUAGUCAAUUCUGACUAGUCCAAGUAUUAUAAACCACUUCCAGUUCUCCUAUACUAGUCCAAUUAUUCUUACACCACUUUUAGUUUACAAGUGUUUGAUUAAGUGAUGAUAAUAACUCUCAUUAAGAGAAUAUUUAAUCAAAGCAAUAUAUUCCCGAAUUCUUGUAAUUACCCUCUUUCUCUCUUUUUCUCUUUUUGGAUGAAAGCAUUAGACGAUGUAAGAGCAAAACACUUGGUUUCUGUUGACUCUCUAGUUUUCUCUUCUCUUCUUUGAACACUUGCGUUUAAACGCUAUAAGCACAAAAACAAUCUUGUGAGAUGAUAGUUGGAUACUAAGUUGAUUUUAAGAUAGACUUCAUAGUUUUUUUCGGUAGCUUGGUCAAACUCAGGUCUACGUUGUCUAGUAGCAUAGUUUUUUCGCGUAAAUAGCUUGUACGAUCUUCCUGGGCAAGAAGCUUUGAUAAAACAUUCUAAGAAUGCCUUCUUAUCUCUCAACGUCUUUUUGACCUUUGUGUAGAGCUUCUAAGGUAAGCUAGGCGUUGUCAUUUCCUAAACAGAUAAAGAAAGGAAAGUAUGCAAGCACAAAAGCACUUUUUCAUGCAACAUUAGAUGUUUUAUCCGUUGAUGAUCGUACAACACAUUAUGUGUUCAGAGUAUAUUUGCAUAUGUCAACAUCAUUUAAUUAAUGCAUCAUUUAUUAUCAAGUUGAGUUAGAUGAUGUAGAAGAUAUAUUCUUUAGACACUUAUCUUAUAAGAGUGCUUUUGUAAACUUGUGUCUUUGUUUGAGCAAGGUUAGCACUUAGAUGCUUUAUCAUUAGGUCAUACAUAUCCUAUUUAGUUCAGACACUAUAUAGCAUAAAUACUCUGUCAUAAGUUUUAUAUUGUUUAGCGUAAGCCUAGGCUAGCAUAUUAUUUAAUGGGAUGAUUAUUGUUUAUCCUGAUAUGCUAUGUUCUUGUGAUAUGUGAUAUAUAUAUUUUUCAAUAAUAUUUAGUGCCUCUUUUUAGUCAUCACACAUGGUUUAAUUUGAUAAAUGCUUGACGCAAGUAGCUUGAAUGUAAAUGUAUAAGCGUAGAAUUUGUUUGUAUAUCUUGAUUGCAUCAGACACUAUCUAUGUUCUUGUGAUGUGUAAUAUAUAUAUAUAUAUAUAUAUAUAUAUAUAUAUAUAUAUAUAUAUAUUUUUUUUUUUUUUUUUUUUUUCAAUAACGUUUAGUGCCUCUUUUUAGUUAUCACACUAAUUUACUCAUACGCUUGGUGACGCAAGUAGCUUGAGUGUACAUGCAUAAACGUNNNNNNNNNNNNNNNNNNNNNNNNNNNNNNNNNNNNNUAUAUAUAUAUAUAUAUAUAUAUAUAUAUAUAUAUAUUUUUUUUUUUUUUUUGUUUUUCAAUAACGUUUAGUGCCUCUUUUUAGUUAUCACACUAAUUUACUCAUACGCUUGGUGACGCAAGUAGCUUGAGUGUACAUGCAUAAACGUGUAGCAUUUGUAUAUAUAUCUUUAUUACAUCAUAUACUAUCUAUUUGGUCAAAAUUAUUCUAAUAUUCAUUAUGUAUAUUUUGUCCUAGUGUUUCGGAUAAACGAUUUUAUGUCAAUUAUUUGUCUUUUUUUAGUAUAUCCAAUGAUUAGACAAUUCUUCUUAUAAAUUUUGUUAAGUAUUAUUUGAUAAAUUUUAAAAUAUGGAUUAUUAGACAAUCUAAUUUUUCUUAAACCAUUUUGUUUCAACCGAUUUUGAUUCUGUUAUUAUUCAUAAUCAAUAUAUUUUUUGCAAUAACUCAUGUGGCUUUGAUACUAAUUAUAGUACUGAUCAUUCUAAUAUUGUUACUCAACCUUUACGCAGAACAAUCAGGAUUACUACUCCUAUGAUUAUCAUUGUUACGUUACUAAUGUUUCUUUUUCUCUUUAUCCUAUAUAAAAAGAUGUAACUGUUCCAAGAUUUCAAAACAGCACACUCACAUAUGCCAAAUUUCAGAGAAUUUGAGCCACAGACAUGAUUAUUCCCUUUUUACAGUUGAUGUUAAUUUUGUUUCUCUUCUUGUUUAUGUUAAUGAUAUUAUCAUUGUUGGUGCUAUAAUAUAAAUAUUAUUAAUCAUGUUAAGAAUGAUGUUCAAAACAGUUUCAACUUAAGAGAUCUUAGGUACUUAAAUUUUAUCCUUUGCCUUGGGUUUUCAAAAUCCAAAACUGGCAUUUUCAUGUGUCAAACAUCAUUACAUUUUAUCUUUUCUUGAAUAUUGUAGCAUGCUUACUUGUAAACCAUCAUCUAUUCCCAUGCUCCUUAAUCUUAAUUUGUGUAGUGAUUCAUGUACUCUUCUUGCUGACCCUGGUAUAUACAAAUGUCUUAUAGGACAACUAUUGUAUUUAACCAUUUGUCAUUCUGAUAUAUGUUAUUAUGUUCAUAAGUUAAGCCAAUAUAUAGCUAACCCUCAAUCUGCUCACAUGGAGGUUGCCACUAUUUUUCUUUGAUAUCUUAAGCACACUACUAGUCAAGGUGUAUUAAUUCAAAGCUGUAUUUUUUGUAUUUUCUUUGGGAAUUUAUGAAUCUCAUGGAAAGCAAAACGUCAAAAGAUUGUUAAAAAAUCCUAUAUAGAAGCUGAGUAUAGAGCUUUAGCUUCUGUUUCCACUUGGAUUAUUUGGUUAAGAAAUCUACUAACUAAUUUUCAUAUCCAUAAUUCUUUUGCAGUAGCUUAUUGUGACAAUAAGGCUACUAUACAAAUUGCCAACAAUCCUCACACCACGAAAGAACAAAGCCCUUUGAGAUUGAUCUUCAUUUCAUCAUAAAACAAGUUGAAAAAGGAGUUCUUAGACUUAUUCAUGUUCAAAAACACCA
rnacentral:lncRNA from 1 species